rnacentral:rRNA from 1 species
ACAUGCAGUCGAACGAGUUCUGAUUAUUGAAAGGUGCUUGCAUCUUGAUUUAAUUUUGAACGAGUGGCGGACGGGUGAGUAACACGUGGGUAACCUGCCCUUAAGUGGGGGAUAACAUUUGGAAACAGAUGCUAAUACCGCAUAAAUCCAAGAACCGCAUGGUUCUUGGCUGAAAGAUGGCGUAAGCUAUCGCUUUUGGAUGGACCCGCGGCGUAUUAGCUAGUUGGUGAGGUAACGGCUCACCAAGGCAAUGAUACGUAGCCGAACUGAGAGGUUGAUCGGCCACAUUGGGACUGAGACACGGCCCAAACUCCUACGGGAGGCAGCAGUAGGGAAUCUUCCACAAUGGACGCAAGUCUGAUGGAGCAACGCCGCGUGAGUGAAGAAGGCUUUCGGGUCGUAAAACUCUGUUGUUGGAGAAGAAUGGUCGGCAGAGUAACUGUUGUCGGCGUGACGGUAUCCAACCAGAAAGCCACGGCUAACUACGUGCCAGCAGCCGCGGUAAUACGUAGGUGGCAAGCGUUAUCCGGAUUUAUUGGGCGUAAAGCGAGCGCAGGCGGUUUUUUAAGUCUGAUGUGAAAGCCCUCGGCUUAACCGAGGAAGUGCAUCGGAAACUGGGAAACUUGAGUGCAGAAGAGGACAGUGGAACUCCAUGUGUAGCGGUGAAAUGCGUAGAUAUAUGGAAGAACACCAGUGGCGAAAGCGGCUGUCUGGUCUGUAACUGACGCUGAAGCUCGAAAGCAUGGGUAGCGAACAGGAUUAGAUACCCUGGUAGUCCAUGCCGUAAACGAUGAAUGCUAGGUGUUGGAGGGUUUCCGCCCUUCAGUGCCGCAGCUAACGCAUUAAGCAUUCCGCCUGGGGAGUACGACCGCAAGGUUGAAACUCAAAGGAAUUGACGGGGGCCCGCACAAGCGGUGGAGCAUGUGGUUUAAUUCGAAGCAACGCGAAGAACCUUACCAGGUCUUGACAUCUUUUGAUCACCUGAGAGAUCAGGUUUCCCCUUCGGGGGCAAAAUGACAGGUGGUGCAUGGUUGUCGUCAGCUGCGAGUGCGUCGGAAUGAUGGGUUAAGUCCCGCAACGAGCGCAACCGCUUAUGACUAGUUGCCAGCAUUUAGAUGGGCACUCUAGUAAGACUGCCGGUGACAAACCGGAGGAAGGUGGGGAUGACGUCAAAUCAUCAUGCCCCUUAUGACCUGGGCUACACACGUGCUACAAUGGAUGGUACAACGAGUUGCGAGACCGCGAGGUCAAGCUAAUCUCUUAAAGCCAUUCUCAGUUCGGACUGUAGGCUGCAACUCGCCUACACGAAGUCGGAAUCGCUAGUAAUCGCGGAUCAGCACGCCGCGGUGAAUACGUUCCCGGGCCUUGUACACACCGCCCGUCACACCAUGAGAGUUUGUAACACCCGAAGCCGGUGGCGUAACCCUUUUAGGGAGCGAGCCGU